CCUCUCCUACUGCCCAGAAGGAAAAUUUCUUCCCAGUUGCUCACCUAAUUGUGUAUCUUGUCUACAAUCAGAAAGCUUCACUGGCUCUGUAAGUCCAUCCAGUGGCUGCAUAUGGGAAUUGCAUAUUUUUGAGGAUUUGUGAUGGAACAUGCCUGCCACUUUCACUGUUAAUGGAAAGUAUCUGGCAGGAUCAGUUACAUUAAGGUGUGAUUUCCUGCUGGAAUAAGAUCUGGAGGCCAAAGGGGAGACUGAAUGUGAACUAAGCUGUUCAUUCCUGCUUUAGCCAUGCCCUGGAAGAACAUGUCAUACCACUCAAGUCACUUUAGAGACAUUAAAAAAGCACUAAGAAAUAGUGUUAGCAAAGUCAAGACAAAUUGUGUUCUUCUGGAGAGUUAGAGCCAUGGAAACCUGUAGUUAAUACUGUUGAGGUGCUAAUGAAGUUGAUGGGAAGGAAUCCUUUAAAAGGAACUUGGAUUUGGAUGUAGAAGGACUGUGCAUCUACAUAGAUGAGGGGACCAAAGGAUGUCUUUUUGGGCAUGGUGUCCAUGGGCAUGGUUAACACACCAAAUGGUACAGAAAACAUUACAUGUGUGGAGAGCAUCAAAACUGAAAUUACUGUUGAUGUGGUAUCCUCUGGGUUUCCUGAAUUCUUGGAAUUUUAUCUUUAGUACUCACAAAUAAACAAUG